AGUAGGACUGAUUCUUCCCUAGGAGACGGAGUUCUCCUUUCAUCAUCUUCCCCUUCUGUGCAUGGUAGCCGCUUGAACUUGCCCCUCCAAGAGUCAAGGACAAGACCACCCCAUGGAAUGGGCCAAGUGGACUCCCCAUGAAGCCUCCAACCAGACCCAGGCCAGCACCCUCCUGGGGCUCCUGCUGGGUGACCACACAGAGGGGAGGAAUGACACCAACUCCACCAGGGCUCUGAAGGUGCCAGACGGAACCAGCGCUGCCUGGUAUAUACUCACCAUCAUCGGCAUCUACGCGGUGAUUUUCGUCUUCCGGCUGGCCAGCAACAUCCUCAGAAAGAAUGACAAGUCCUUAGAAGAUGUUUAUUACUCAAAUCUGACCUCUGAACUCAAAAUGACAGGGCUGCAGGGCAAGGUCGCCAAGUGCUCCACCCUGUCUAUCAGCAACAGAGCUGUGCUGCAGCCCUGCCAGGCCCACCUGGGGGCAAAGGGCGGAAGCAGCGGGCCCCAAACCGCAACCCCAGAGACCCCCUGAGAGUCAAGGCCAGGAGGCCUUCCCUAGGGUGGCCCCAGACUUCUUGGAGGGGAGCAGCUUUGGGUUUACUUGGAGCCCUUGAGGGGGACUGGGGGUGCAUCACUGACAAGGGGUGCUUCUGGCUGCUAGUUUGUGACCAGAGCCAGCCACCCAGUUCCUUCUCAGACUUCCAGGUGCUUCGAGAAGAGAGAGCAGGGCAGCGGUUUCUAGCCAAAUUCAAUCUUCACUGGCAAAACCUGUGCUCUGGGGAGGAGCACUAUUCCACUGUUCUCGGAGGAAUCCGGGAGACUCCUGGGGGCAUACAAGGAGGUGACUCCUUGUCGUGGAAAGAAGAAUGAACUUGGAGGUCUUUGUGACCUGUGUCUUGUGAUAUCAAUCCUGCUGGCCUCCUGUCUCACCCUGUGACUAAGAAUGCCUACCCUCCUGGAAUGCAGUCCAGCAAGUCUCAUCCUCAUUUUACACAGCCUUUAAUCAAGAUGGAGUCACUCUGCUUCGAAAACCUCUGACAGAAUUGCUGGAUCCAUUUUGCCACCAUGAAGAAAGCCAACUUGAAGGCAAAAACCCAGCAUCUAGAAGGGAGAAGAACUAGGAAAUUACAGAGACCAGAGCCUGUACCAACUGUACCCAGAGCCUUCAUUUACCACUGGAGUUUUUCAGUUUGUGAACCAAUGAGAUCCUUUUAUUAAGUCUUUUGGAGCUAGGCUUUUGUUCCUCACAACCAAAAAUAUCCUAAAUGAUACCACUGGAUAAAUGAUUUCCCGAAGGAAGUGGGCCUUGGAGUCAAAUUUGAAAAGAGAAGAUGUGUGAUGUGCUGUGUGGGAGGCUGGGAUCAUUUUUUUUCACCAAGAUUUUUAUAUUUAUAGGCUUUUAUAUUUAUAGGGGAAAAACAGAUUCGGUACACUUCUUACUUCAGCUCAAUAAUCAUUUGCAGGACUUCUCAUUGCUUGACCUCUCAAAGAGCACUCAGUGAGACUCUGUACCAUUUAAUCCUCACCCCUGACUGUCAGUAGACUGCCAUGGAAACCCCAAGGAUGCCUGUCCUGUUGGACAUGUGGUCAGAGACUGGCUCCAAAGAUAUCUCCCAAAGAGCAAAAGCCACCAUCUUCCUGUUGGUGCCCAGACACAGGUGCAUGAGCUCCAAGGACUCCUUCCUAGGCCACCUCUCUGCUGCCUGAUCUAAACUCACCUCAUUUCUGGGAGCUGGUCUGAGAGUCUGCCUUGGAGAUGUGUUGGAUGGGAACUAGGGGUUUGUAGGCUCCAUUGUGAGCAAUACUGAUGGGAAAUGACCCCAACUGGUAUGGAUAUUUUGCAUAAAGCCCCUGAAAUCUGACAUGCUCAGGGUCAGAGCCAUGAACCACUGUCUUGACAAACCCCAUGUACAUGGACUAAUAAGGAAGGUGUGGGCACCAUGGCGUUAGUGUUCAACUGGAGAGUGGGAAAGAGAUUUGCAUGUGCCACCAGCCCUGAUAGAGACAGUGACAGAACACACUGAUUCUCAACAUUGCAGACACCUGCUGUCUUUGUCCCUAUGUAGGUUUCCCCCAAUAUUUAGGGGAUCAGGUCAGAUAAAGGCCUUCCUCUGAAAUGGAAAUUAUUUAAAAUCGAUGAGGAAGUCAUCCAGGAAUGACUUCCUCUGGGGAUCUGUGGAUGAUGGUGCUAGGGUUUGUACCAGACCAAAUCAAGGUAACUAGAGCCUCCCCAGGUGAUUGUAACCCAUCUCCUAAAUAAAACUUGCAUCGACUCGGUUGCAUUACAA